AAUGGGUGAGUAACGCGUGAGGAACCUGCCUCAAAGAGGGGGACAACAGUUGGAAACGACUGCUAAUACCGCAUAAGCCCACGGGUCGGCAUCGACCAGAGGGAAAAGGAGCAAUCCGCUUUGAGAUGGUCUCGCGUCCGAUUAGCUAGUUGGUGAGGUAAUGGCCCACCAAGGCGACGAUCGGUAGCCGGACUGAGAGGUUGAACGGCCACAUUGGGACUGAGACACGGCCCAGACUCCUACGGGAGGCAGCAUG
rnacentral:rRNA from 1 species